UGAUGAUAGAUCUCUUUCAGCCUAUAUAGUCCAGGUGAUCGAUGUAAACAGACAAGGAAGUUUCAUUGUCUACACAGUUUCCAUUACGAGGCCCGUCAAACGUUCAAAAGAUGAGAGCAUCAUGGCGAAUGACAUCCGGCAUGUACUGAAACGGAAAUCAUGUUCAAUUAACCUGGAGACAGGGGAGUCAUACCUCUUGAUGGGGAAGGAUGGCAAGACCCAGGAUCAGAAGAGAAACAUACAGUAUAUUCUUGACUCAGAGUCAUGGAUUGAAAAGAUUCCCUCUGAAGGAAGAUGCAGGGGCUCAAAUUUCAGGAAAAGCUGUGAAGAUUUAAACAAGUUCCUUGAAACCUUUGAAAUUGAAGGCUGUCAAAUGUAAUGACAUUUGAACAUUUUGUUGCUCAUCCCUUGAGCUGCUUCCUCACUGCAAGAUGCAUGCUCCGUUUGAUAACCUGUUCGACUGCAAAAUAACAUUGAAAGACAGCUCAUAUAUAUAGGAGAAAUGUUUAAUCAAUUUGCAUCUCUCAACUGCUUCAGCAUAUUCUUUGUCAUAAACCUUGAACUUGAAUGCA